AUUGAUUCCCAUUAUGCCCUUAAAGGCAGCUCUCUCCAUCUCUUCUCCUCCACAGAGAUACAGACCUCCAGAAGCGGUUCCCUACCGGAGGACCUCGCUCGCACCGGAGCUUACUCCGAUCUCUUCGUUUUCAUCACUGACGACGAAGCCGAUAUCUGCUUUUACAGUAGCGCCUCUGAUUUGUUAUCCACAAUCAGAAGCAGGAGACCGCGAAAUGAGCCAAGACACCAAGAGAAGCGUUCCCGGGACUGUGCCGAAGAAGCCGAAUUUCGACGAGCAGAAACCCUCGCCGGCUGUCACCGCCUCCACCGGCAAGCGCGUUUGUUGUGUUGAUCACUGGAUUUUGAUUCGGAAAUAGGGUUUGGCUUAAUCUGGAGAUGGCUGCCGAUGUUAUAGAGCCGCAGUUUAUUGGUUUUGGCAGUUAACUCAUUCCUUGGCUAAUUUGUUUCUUCUCUUACGACGGCGGAGGCUCUUAAUUACAAUCAGGUACAGGCAUUACUAAUGGAUCAGAGUAGCUACACGUGAAACGUUUACGAAGUGAGAAACCUAGCUGUUUUACUGGUUUGGCUUGCAGGUAUUUCUGAGAGAUUUUGUUCCUACUGCUUUGGCCUGCCUUUCAGAUGGCUUUGUUCCUACUGGUUUGGCUUUUGUUUUUAGUAUUCUUCAAGUAGUGUGUGUAAACAGUAAAAAAUAAAGGACUACUCUCAAAAUUUAGAUGCAUCAACUCCAGAAGUUCACGUACCCAUUUGAUGAGGCUAGCUAGUUUUAUGAUAUUCCUAGAAUGUUGGCAAGUUGGAAUCACAAAAACACAUUCAUGUAUGAAAGUACAUGUAACAUUGAGUCUGUUAGCAAAACUGCAUAUCAUUUAAUUUUUAUAACAAUCCAGUAGUUAAAAUUACAAAGGUUUGGUUUUUUAGUUGGUGGAAUGCUACAAGUUUAUUGUUGUCAUGCAAAGAACACUUUCUCAGAGAAAGUGUUGCUUUAUACUGAAGUUAAGAAUGAUGAGAGAAAUAAAUUGCCUAGCCCACCAAAUACUAUGAAACAACAAUGCUGCCUGCUGGCAGUGAAUCAUGUUGCUCAAACAAAUUUGGAUAAGAUGUUAUGGACGUGUGCUUAUCAUUUGGGUGCAUGAUGUAUGGAAUUUCAACUUAUUAUUUUCUGAUUAUUACUGACGAGGAAUUUUACAGGGUCUUAGUUACUCUCCAGAGAUGCAGCAAAAAGUAACUAAAACAUUUUCUGGAGCAUGGAGAAUGAGAGUAGCUCUUGCCUGUGCCCCUUUCAUUUCACAAUAUAAUGGACUGGCAUUCCUUUGAUUCCAAAGUUGGAGAUAGGCUACACACAUCAAUGGAUGUCAGUUAGUGAAUCCAGCGCUCAAGAGUUGGAGAGUUCCAUGAAAGUUUUGACAAAAGUGGACUUGGACUUGGCAUAUUCUGCUGAGAAGUUGGCAAAUCUACAGGAGCUUAUGAUGUGCCUAUUCUCUCAAGAAAAUGAUCUUGAAGCAAUGGCCACCGCAAAUAACUAUAUCAUGAGAAACUAUUGUGAUUCAGAUUUUUCUAGAUUUUGUUUUAAAAAGUUUGUCAUUUCACUAUCUAUAAGCCAAUGUUGUGGUAUAUGGUUUUGACUGAAAAUCUAGCAGUCUUUUUCCUACUUGUUCUGGUUUUUGUAUGUAUAUUUGUUAAAUCAGAGGAGUAUAGUUAUGAUUUUCGCAAUCAAGCCUUCUUUGAUUUGCAUUAAGCCCUCUUGUAGUCUUUCCAAUAAUAUCUAUUGUUUCGUUUGUCCA